rnacentral:rRNA from 1 species
UACAGAGGUCUCAAGCGUUGUUCGGAUUCAUUGGGCGUAAAGGGCGCGUAGGCGGCUUGGCAAGUGGAUGGUGAAAUCCCUCGGCUUAACCGAGGAACUGCCGUCCAAACUGCUUUGCUUGAGGCCGGGAGAGGCGAGUGGAAUUCCCAGUGUAGCGGUGAAAUGCGUAGAUAUUGGGAGGAACACCUAUUGCGAAGGCAGCUCGCUGGGACGUAACUGACGCUGAGACGCGAAAGCGUGGGGAGCAAACAGG